rnacentral:pre_miRNA from 1 species
GGGGGGAGGCCGGAUCCUGGGCUGUUUCCCGUUGCUCAGUACUCCGGGGCCUGCACUGUUGGAUUCGCGCUCCUGGUCACGCAGCCGCCU